rnacentral:rRNA from 1 species
CUACCCUUGACAUGUCUGGAAUCCUGAAGAGAUUUGGGAGUGCUCGAAAGAGAGCCAGAACACAGGUGCUGCAUGGCCGUCGUCAGCUCGUGUCGUGAGAUGUUGGGUUAAGUCCCGCAACGAGCGCAACCCUUGUCAUUAGUUGCUACGAAAGGGCACUCUAAUGAGACUGCCGGUGACAAACCGGAGGAAGGUGGGGAUGACGUCAGGUCAUCAUGGCCCUUAUGGGUAGGGCUACACACGUCAUACAAUGGCCGGGACAGAGGGCUGCCAACCCGCGAGGGGGAGCUAAUCCCAGAAACUCGGUCGUAGUCCGGAUCGUAGUCUGCAACUCGACUGCGUGAAGUCGGAAUCGCUAGUAAUCGCGGAUCAGCUUGCCGCGGUGAAUACGUUCCC